AUUGAACGCUGGCGGCAGGCCUAACACAUGCAAGUCGAGCGGAUGAAGGGAGCUUGCUCCCGGAUUCAGCGGCGAACGGGUGAGUAACGCGUGGGAAUCUGCCUGGUAGUGGGGGAUAAC
rnacentral:rRNA from 1 species